CUCCUGACCUAAUCACCUCCCAGCGGCCCCCCCUCAUAUACCAUCACUGGGGAAUUGGUUUCAACGUAUUAGGUAGAAGCUAGACACAACAGUGGAAGGAAUGCCCCAAGGCAGAGUUCCAAGUCCUUGAAGGGGAACGAUAGAGACAUGAGCUGGAGGCCAGGACGGUUACAAAAAGGAAAUUUGGACACACUGAGAGACACCACAGGGCAUGAAUAUACAGAGAGACAAACAAGUGAAGAAGCAGCAACAGGAGGACCAUCUGUCGUCCAAGAAGAAAGGCCUCAGAAGAAACCAAACUCACCUCCACCUUGAUCUUGCACUUCUAGCUUCCAGAACUGGAAGAAGCUGACAUGGAGAAAGAAUUUGCUGCUCUACGUCGCUAGGAAAAUCUGUCAGAGUUUAACAACCUUACCUCCAGAUGGGGAGUGUGUGCAUUAGAAAGGAUGGAAAGGCAGCCUUCUUGAACACUGGAGCUUUCAAAUGUUUGUGACUCAAAAGUGGGGCUAAGGUGGCAAAUAAACGAAUCAGCAAAGGCUACUUCCUUCAUCAUCAUCAAGAUGCCAUCAUUUCAAGAGCAGUCGUUCUAGAUUCCCAUGGCUUUGUCGGGGAGUCGUUCCUUACAAACAAGAGGAAAAUGCUUCCCACAGUACUGCCAACAACUUCGGUGUUACCAUUAUUUUGGCCCCCUCUCUGAAGAUGGAAAUGAAUUUAGUAACUUACAUUGCUAUUUUGAAAUGAAAGAGUUAAUUGUCUUCCCUUUAAAAUCUAGAAUUUCUACUGGGCUACUGACCUAGAACUUAAGAUCUUUUGUAAUGUGUUACUGUUUGAUGUUGGAUCCUGGGGUAGUGGCAUGGGAGGAGUUUGGAGGCACACAUCUCCCCAUGUGCACCACACCCUUCUAGAAAAGUCUCAGAUGCAAUAAAUACAAGAAAAUAUCCGGGUUUUAAGAAGUAAUGGAAGCAGAACAAUGAUUUCCUUGGAGUGGUGGAUGGGGAGGAGCAGGAGAGGGAUUAUCAAGGGGCAGCGCAAAGGUUUGAUGGUGAUGGAUCUCAUUGUCAUGAUCGCGGUGAAGGUGUGACGUGUACGUAUACAUCAAAUGUAUCAAAUUACUUGUUCAUGUAUGUAAAGUUUAUGUCAGUGACACCUCAAUAAGCUUGAAAUGAUUGAAGGAAGUUUCCAGCAACCACACCAUUUCUCAAAGAACUAGAUGAGGAUAACUAGAGGGUGUGGGGAAGUUGGUGCCUAAAAUAAAAUGGUUUUAGGGGAGCCUGGGUGGCUCAGUCGGUU